UUGCUGAAGCAUUCAUGGACUUCUGUAAGCAAUUCCUGCCCAACUUUGCUGAAAUUCGACGUGUUCUAAUGAGUCACGUGGGUCCGACUCACUACCAGAAGCUCAACCAGCUGGUUGCAGGAGACACCAGUGCGGCAGACGUUGAAUGGAGUUCAAAUCAAAAUAAGCCGUACAGAGACGCACUCACGGCUUUGAACGACGGCAUAAAGACAUUGUUCCCUGACAAAGUGGAUAUGACUCCCAUCAACAAUACCAAGCAGGCAGCGGCGAACAGGACAUUGGCACAGAGAAUGUCCACAAAAUGCACCUCGUAGAAGAUGGGGGCGUGGACUGGCCAGACGAGGAAGGGGUGGCAACGCACAUUCCGAUUGACGUGAGGCGGAGGGGGAGGAGGCUGCAUGUGAGGGGGAGACGGCAACCAUGCUGAGGCCUCACAUGAUAAGGGAAGUAAAACACACACACACCGCAGCCUGCAAUGAAGAAACGCUUUCUGCACUAACUCCCUGCACGCACACUCACACUCACACACACACACCGGAGCAACAACAAGCUCUCGUGGACAUCACAGAGCAAUUGAGAAAACAACAAAAGCUUUCACUUAAACAC
ensembl:lncRNA